rnacentral:rRNA from 1 species
AUGCCUAGGGGCGCAGCAGUGGGGAAUAUUGCACAAUGGGGGAAACCCUGAUGCAGCGACGCCGCGUGAGUGAAGAAGUAAUUCGUUAUGUAAAGCUCUAUCAGCAGGGAAGAAACAGACGGUACCCGAGUAAGAAGCCCCGGCUAACUACGUGCCAGCAGCCGCGGUAAUACGUAGGGGGCAAGCGUUAUCCGGAUUUACUGGGUGUAAAGGGAGCGUAGACGGCGAAGGAAGUCUGAAGUGAAAGCCCGCGGCUUAACCGCGGAACUGCUUUGGAAACUUUUUUGCUGGAGUACCGGAGAGGG